UCAACUUCUAUCCAAGUAACCAAAUUCUCCAGCUUCAAGAACCGUUCUUUUCAAAUCCUCGCCGUUCUUGAUUUCUCAUUCACAGAGGUUGAGCGGCGACGAGGAUGUGUUGGUGUUGAGCAAGUGAAUUAAAUAUGUUAGUGAUGUCUUUGAACCCUGAGUGUCGUUGUGUCUUCACACAUGACGUCACUCUUUCUCUUGGUCGUUUCCGCUGUGACGUGUCUUAAAUUAUGAUUUAUUUGGGCCGACAACUUUAAUUGUUGGGGUAAUGGAUAUUCUGAAUUCCUUGUUGGAUAAUAUUAAACUCUUGGUUAUUUAUUUGGAUAUUAAUUGUUGGUCCAA